CUGGCAGUGCCUUUGAUAAGCUCUUCUCCUCUCCCCCUUUCUGUCCACGCAGCACGGAGCAGCGAAACCCCUUUGCCUAUAAUUCUUAUUAAGGUGAUACCUUUUCUGAAUAAGAAAGUACACACUUCCAAAGCUGGCACUCUCUGGGGUUUUUAAGGGACAUUGUUUUUAUUGGUUCCCUUUUAUUUCUUCCACCCCGCUGUGUUUUAAUGCUAUAGUGACUUCUGUGUAUACAACUCUCAUAUUGAAAUGUCGGCUGCAGAUAUAUGCAAUAUUAAAGAGCGCUUAUGAAUUUUUGACAUCUAAUUAGUCGCUACCCAGUUAACAUGUCAGGACUCAGAGGGAUUAGGGAGGCAGCCCUUUCUGAAUAAGUUACAGUGAGGCUCCUGUCCUUUUCAUGUAUUAUUCUUUAAUGUAGGUGGUGAUUAUUUGGCUGUGAUUAAUUGAUGAAGCCCAUUGGUCUGGCAAGUGGUGCCGAAUUCACCAUUCCUCACUUUUAUUUCUCUCAGUUGGGUUCUGCCACUUAAUCGGAAGGACUUGCUUCCUUCCAGGCAAUCUGUCUGUGCAGCAUUCUGGGGCAGAGGGACUUUUCCUGGGUGACCCACCUCGACCCUUUCACAGCUCUUGACUCCCUGGUCAGCAGUGGGCUUUGCAUCCUGCCUUCUUGGACAAGCCCUGUGCCCUGUGGCCCCUGGCCAGGCAUGUCUGAAAUGCUGCGGCACCCCCUAUACAAAAGCUUCCUGUUGCUCCCCUUUUCUCUCGUAUCUGAUUUUCGAGCCUUGCUUUCUGGUACCUUUAACACCUGUAGCUCCCGGCCUGGCUCAGUUUACUUCUAGGUUCAGCUGCCUGCCAAGACGCCAGGUGACACUCGGGGCUCUCCAAGGCCGCUCCUGCCAUUGUCUCCAGCUGGGGGGGCUCAAGAAACCACACACAUGAGAUGCACAGUCUGAUAUGGCCGGCUCUGCCCCUCUGGAAGCUGAUGCCCCCAACAGUCUAUGGAGCUGGAGAAAACCGUCAUAGGCAAAGUGAUUCUAAAGGCCCUUUUGCACCAAGCCAGAUCCUAACACACAAAUCCCUUCCACCUCUCAGGGCCUGUGGUGCACAGUUUCUCGCCGUGGAAUUUUGUCUCAGCAGGUAUCAGUACCACCAAUGUGCCAGAGAAGAAUGCAGUCAGGAUGGCGAGAAGUACAGUUUUACUUUCUCCCAUCCUGUCUUUUCUGUUUCGCCACUAUUUUUCUUGUCCCCCUCCUCCUCCCCUCCUUAUUGCAAGAUGUCUGGCACCCUGCGUCUGGCAUGA
rnacentral:lncRNA from 1 species